UGGGGAAUAUUGGACAAUGGGGGAAACCCUGAUCCAGCAAUGCCGCGUGAGUGAUGAAGGCCCUAGGGUUGUAAAGCUCUUUUGUGCGGGAAGAUAAUGACUGUACCGCAAGAAUAAGCCCCGGCUAACUUCGUGCCAGCAGCCGCGGUAAUACGAAGGGGGCUAGCGUUGCUCGGAAUCACUGGGCGUAAAGGGUGCGUAGGCGGGUCUUUAAGUCAGGGGUGAAAUCCUGGAGCUCAACUCCAGAACUGCCUUUGAUACUGAGGAUCUUGAGUUCGGGAGAGGUGAGUGGAACUGCGAGUGUAGAGGUGAAAUUCGUAGAUAUUCGCAAGAACACCAGUGGCGAAGGCGGCUCACUGGCCCGAUACUGACGCUGAGGCACGAAAGCGCGGGGAGCAAACA
rnacentral:rRNA from 1 species